UUCUGUAAGUUCUUAUGAGAUUACUUAUUUAAAAUCAAAAAGUAGUAAGCAAAAACUUAGAGAUUGAGUAAUCAAACUUGGCUCUGAUUUUGGGUAUGGCGUACACUAAGGAAUACACAUGGCUUCUGUAGAGAGGGGUGAGGUGGAAGAUGGAUAUUAGAGAGUAGUAUAAAACUAUGGUGAUAUGAUCUUCUGGGGUGUUAUAGUUAACACGAUAUCCUGAAAUACCCACUAACACCAGUGUUGAGGAUUAAGAAAAGAGUGAAAGCUUGUAUUAGUUUAGUGGGCAAAAAUUUGGUUAAUUUGGUGCCAGCAUCCGCGGUUAAACCAAGAAAUUUAGUCAUUCAUUUAUGGUAAAAAGACAGUUAGGUAAAGUAAGAGGUCAUUAAGAUCUUUAGUAUAGGAGUAAAAUCUAAAUACUAAAAGUUAUACCGGAUAUGGCUUGCCUGUAAUACUGAAUCUGUGACAGCUUUAAGGGAAACUGGGAUUGGAUACCCCAUUAUUUUUAGUUGUAAAUCUAGUUUAAGCUUACCGGAGUACUACGAAUAAAAAAUUUAAAACUCAAAGGGCUUGGCGGUGUUUUAGACUCCUCAGGGGAACCUGUCUCGUAAUCGACAAUCCACGUUAAACCUAACCUUUUAUGGUAAUACAGUCUGUAUACCGUCGUCGUCAGGUAACUUCUAAAAAUAUGGUAGUUAGCUCGACAGUCUUAUUAGUUAAAACGUCAGAUCAAGGUGCAGCUAAUAAAAAGGUGAGGAUGGGUUACAAUUAUAUAUUUAUAAAUACGAAUAGUACUAUGAAAUAGAGUAUCUUGAAGGAGGACUUGAAAGUAAUUUUAAUUAUAUAAAUAAAAUGAAUUUGGCUCUGAAACGUGCACACAUCGCCCGUCGCUCUCGUUGAAAAAUGAGAUAAGUCGUAACAUAGUAGGGGUAAUGGAAAUUGUUCCUAGGCUG
rnacentral:ncRNA from 1 species